AAAAAACCCCACCCCUCCACGCGAGUCCCUCACCCGCAUACACCCCCUCACGCCAAACACCCCUCCUUCUCCUUCGAAACACACACUCAAGCCCUAGGGUUCCCCAAACGGCCAAACCUAAAACCCAGCUUUGUCAACGGAACCGCCGCCGCCGUCCGUGGUUGUCGGCGUCUCCGCGGCCUCCUCCUUCCCUUGUCCCAAAUCUAUACGGCCAGACCUUCUCUUCUAGACUUUCUAACUCGGCACGUUGUCCUGUCUUCGUCGGUGACUUCGGUGUUCGAGGCUUCCAGCUGCUGCGCCGUUGUGUCGCCGUCGUCGUCUUGCUGUCAGUGGAAGGUUUAGAGCCAAGAAGCUCCUCAAGCAGGCAACAUUGUUGAACAGAUUGUUGUUCAAAUCAUAGUGGUGUUGGCAUAUGUUGGGGGAGAAUAGAGCACUGCAAGGUUACUCAUCUGCACUGUGGAUUGUUCAGCAGCGGCCCCGAAAAGAGCACCGUUGUGUCCCUCAUAGAGAGAUUCUAUGACCGUUCAUCAGGACAAGUUUUGCUAGAUGGGAAUGAUGUUAAGAGUUUGAAGCUAAAAUGGUUGAGGCAGCAAAAGGACUAUUGAGCCAAGAACCGGCAUUGUUUGUGACAACAUUCAGAAGCUGACCAAGUUGAGAUUGAAGAAGCAGCAAGAGUAGCCAAGUUUAUAAUUUAUUUAUUUUAUUCUAAAACGAUUUUUUCGGUUGAAUUACGGUU